CUAGCCUCUGCCCCGCCCCUUCCUCCCCGGCCAGCUUCCGCAUUGCCCGCGCAACUCCGAGACUAAACGGAGUGACGGAAACUACAAUCCCGCACAGAAGAAAGGCCCAAGGAACGAGGGAGUCCCCACCCUGCCAAAAGGAGAGACUCCUUUAGAAAAACUUGGCGGCAAGUUAACAGGAAGCGCGGAGGCGCAGUUCCUAGGCCGUUUGGGGGCACCUUGCCGCCCCAGUAAUCUCAUCUUUUGUUCUUUGACAGGACUCCUUGAAGCCCCUACUCUGAGCGCUUUCCGGGCAGCUCUUGACUCGAACUCCACUGCGAUCCCUCUCUGAUGGCAGCCAUGAUAGUUACAUCCGGGUAUUUCGUGGAGUCGCGACCAGAGUCUCCCGGAAGUGACGCGAACGCGGAGGGAUUUGCGUUCGAGGCCAUCAGGUGGGGAAAUAGCCACACCAGCACCUCGCCAGAACAGAUGCCUGGGUGUCAGAGGUCCCAGGGGCACAGCGUCCUCAGGGGAGGUCAGAGCCCAUGGCUAGAUAUCAUGGGGGCGAGAUAUUAACCCAAGUAGUUGCAAGACACUAGAUCAAAAGGCCAGUAAAAUCAGAAUGAAGUGCUACAAUCAAUUCUUUGCCUUUAGGCUAAGAGCAAGUGUAGGAAUGAAAUGCUGUUAAGAAAACACACACAUGGAAUUAGGUGAUAAUGUCUAUAGAACUGGAUAUUGAAUGUCCCUAAUAUCUACUUGAGUCCCUUUAGGAAGCAGAGUUGGUUUUUAAUUCCUUGAGACUUUAGAAUUAGGAGCUAAGUUUAGCUGUGAGCACAGAGUAACAGAAAUCACCAAAAUAAAAGUUAUUUAUUAUUCUUUUUAUAUGAUAUA
rnacentral:lncRNA from 1 species